GACGAAAAAGGCGAUGGGGUUCGCCUGAAACCGCCUCACCGACCGUGAGGCUGAUGACCCCUACCGGCAG
rnacentral:ncRNA from 2 species